GCGGGUGCUAACGUCCGUCGUGAAAAGGGAAACAACCCAGACCGUCAGCUAAGGUCCCAAAGUUAUGGUUAAGUGGGAAACGAUGUGGGAAGGCUUAGACAGCUAGGAGGUUGGCUUAGAAGCAGCCACCCUUUAAAGAAAGCGUAAUAGCUCACUGAUCGAGUCGUCCUGCGCGGAAGAUGUAACGGGGCUCAAACCAUACACCGAAGCUACGGGUAUCAUCUUCGGAUGAUGCGGUAGAGGAGCGUUCUGUAAGCCUGUGAAGGUGAGUUGAGAAGCUUGCUGGAGGUAUCAGAAGUGCGAAUGCUGACAUGAGUAACGACAAUGGGUGUGAAAAACACCCACGCCGAAAGACCAAGGUUUCCUGCGCAACGUUAAUCGACGCAGGGUUAGUCGGUCCCUAAGGCGAGGCUGAAAAGCGUA
rnacentral:rRNA from 1 species